rnacentral:rRNA from 1 species
UACAGAGGGUGCGAGCGUUGUCCGGAAUCACUGGGCGUAAAGGGCGCGUAGGUGGCGCUCCAAGUCUGUGGUGAAAGCUCGCCGCUUAACGGCGAGUCGGCCACGGAGACUGGAGGGCUCGAGCACUGUAGGGGCAGAUGGAAUUCCGGGUGUAGCGGUGGAAUGCGUAGAGAUCCGGAAGAACACCGGUGGCGAAGGCGGUCUGCUGGGCAGUUGCUGACACUGAGGCGCGACAGCGUGGGGAGCAAACAGG